rnacentral:tRNA from 1 species
AGAACGUAGCUUAAUCACCUAAAGCGCCCGGCUUACACCCGGAAGACUUC